rnacentral:tRNA from 1 species
GGCUGGAUUGGCUCAGUGGUUAGAGCGUAGAUCUCUCAACCGAAAUAUUGCGGGAUCGAAUCCCGCUAGAGGCU